GCCAGGCAUGGUGGCGCACACCUGUAAUCCCAGUGGCUGGGGAGGUUGAGGCAGGAGGAUGGCAAGUUCAAAGCCAGCCUCUU
rnacentral:sRNA from 1 species